AGUGAACGCUGGCGGCAGGCCUAACACAUGCAAGUCGAACGGCAGCACAGUAAGAGCUUGCCCCUACGGGUGGCGAGUGGCGGACGGGUGAGGAAUACAUCGGAUACUACUUCUUCGGGGGUGAUAACGGAGGGAAACUUCCGCUAACACCGCAUACGUCCUACGGGUGAAAGCAGGGGAUCUACGCACUUUGCGCGAUUGAAAGAGCCGAUGUCGGAUUAGCUAGUUGGCGGGGUAAAGGCACACCAAGGCGACGAUCCGUAGCAGGUCUGAGAGGAUGAUCAGCCACACUGGAACUGAGACACGGUCCAGACUCCUACGGGAGGCAGCAGUAGGGAAUAUUCCGCAAUGGGCGCAAGCCUGAUCCAGCCAUACCGCGUGAGUGAUGAAGGCCUUCGGGUUGUAAAGCCCUGUUGUUGGGAAAGAACAGCAGCAUGUUAAUCCCCCGCUAUUCUGACGGUACCCAAAGAAUAAGCCCCGGCUAACUUCGUG
rnacentral:rRNA from 1 species